rnacentral:rRNA from 1 species
GACGAACGCUGGCGGCGUGCCUAACACAUGCAAGUAGAACGCUGAAGGAGGAGCUUGCUCUUCUGGAUGAGUUGCGAACGGGUGAGUAACGCGUAGGUAACCUGCCUUGUAGCGGGGGAUAACUAUUGGAAACGAUAGCUAAUACCGCAUAACAGUAGAUGUUGCAUGACAUUUACUUAAAAGGUGCAAUUGCCUCACUACCAGAUGGACCUGCGUUGUAUUAGCUAGGUGGUGGGGUAACGGCUCACCAAGGCGACGAUACAUAGCCGGCCUGAGAGGGGGGACGGCCAAACUGGGAAUGAGACACGGCCCAGGCUUCUACGGGAGGGAGCAGUAGGGAAUCUUCGGCAAUGGGCGGAAGGCUGGCCGAGCAACGCCGGGUGAGUGGAGAAGGGUUUCGGGUCGUAAAGAUCUGUUGUCAGGGAAGAACGAGUGUGAGAGUGGAAAGUUCACGCUGUGACGGUAACUGACCAGAAAGGAACGGCUAACUACGUG